GACCACCUUCAUCUUCGCCAUGGCGAACGCCUGCCCGAUGCAGUUCCUGCGGGUGGGAGUGGGGACUGUGACUGCGCCCAGGAUCCGCAUUUGGGCCCCAUCACGCCGGAAACCUGGCCCGGGAUCCUCAACCGCACCCAGAUCAGCCUGAGAGAUAGAGAGGGGCUGAGCAUGCGUGGGACCCCCCUGUGGGUUUGCAUGUCCCCCAGAGCCUGGGCCAGACUCCAGCUCCCAGCUCAGACCAGCAGAUGGAGGAGGGGAUUCUGAGCACUCUGCGGACCCUCUAGGACCUACUCACCCCCAUUCUAUGGACAUUUUCCCAUAAACUGUGAAGGAAUGGAGGGAAAGAGAACUGGAACUGGGACCAUCUGCAAACUUCCCCCUUUUUCGACCCUCGCACCUAUCACCCCAUCCCCAUACCAGACACAGGUGGCCCUUACCUGGGUCCCGCAGAGAAGGGAAUAAAAGCCAGAGGUGACCUCUCCUUGCUGUUCUCUGAGUUGAAGCGGAAGGGGUUGUAGACCUGGAGUUUCAGAAUUAGCAGUCCCCUGCGGGCUGCAU
ensembl:lncRNA novel transcript